ensembl:lncRNA
GUAAGGAAGAUAGGGUGCCCCUAGUCUCUGGGGGAGGGUUGGAGCCUAACUACUGGGUGUCAAUUAGCAAACACAGGUGGCCUCUUGGCAAAAGCCAGCCACCUCAAGCACCCUCCAGUACUUUUACAUUAGCUCACCCCAGUGCCUAUAAAUUCUUCCACUUUUCACAUUGGUAAGAUUGAGUUCAAUCUCUCUCCUCUGAUAUAGCUGUCUUGACCCCUACUGCCAUAUCCUUGCAUAAAAUCUUCCUGACCUAAAGUCUAACUUCUUCAGUACAAUUUUCCUUUGGCAUUACUGAAGGACUUUUAUAUACGGAAAUUUGUUUCUUAUCUUAUAUCAAGAGGGAUGGGAGUUCAGUGAGGUCUCAGAGCUGGGGGUACCCAGAUCUGAGUGGCUGUAUAUAGAGGUAAUUGGUUACCACUGGGAGAUCGUCAGCAAACAAGGAUUAAGCCACUAAAAGUAUUUAAAAAGAGGAGUCAUGAGGCCAGUAAAAGAAUGAAGCCUCAAUCUAUCAAAAUGGAGGAAAAGAACAGAAAAGAAGGGCUAGAAUAUUCAGGGACGGAGUUCACUAUGAGUCAGUUUUUCUGACAAGGGUCCAUAUAGUCAAGGCUAUGGUCUUUCCAGUAGUCAUGUACAGAUGUGAGAGCUAGGCCAUAAAGAAGACAGAGCACCCAAGAAUUGAUGCUUUCGAACUGUGGUGCUGGAGAAGACUCUUGAGAGUCCCUUGGACUGCAAGAUAAAAAAAACCAGUCGAUCCUGAAGGAAAUCAACUCUGAAUACUCACUGGAAGGACUGAUGCUAAGGCUGAUGCAGUUUGGCCACCUGAUGCAAACAGCCCACUCACUGGAAAAGACCCUGAUGCUGGGAAAGAUUGAAGGCAGGAGAAGAGGGAGACAGAGGAUGACCCGGUUGGAUGGCAUCACCAAUUCAAUGGACAUGAACUACUUGGGAAAACUACAGGAGAUGGUGAAGGACAGGGAAGCCUGGCAUGCUGCGGUCCACGGGGUCUCAAAGAGUCAGACAUGACUUGGCAAUGGAACAACAACAACAGAAAAAGGGAGUGAAAAAAAAAAAAUUUAGAGUGAUUCUGAGAGUGCUUUAAAAACACUUAGUUUGGAGAUUUCUGGUUUCAAAAACUAGAAUUAAAUACUUGGCAUCCGUUCCCGACAGACAUUUCUAAAAUACUCUUCAAAGGCAAGGCCAUGAGGGAGCCUGGGUUUUCAGAUCGGUGUGUUUCUGAUUUAUCACAGGAGCGGGCAGAUGUGGCAAAAAAGGAGAAAGAGGCUUGGCAAUCCCCGUGCUGAGAGGAGUUUCACUGUUGAGACUGAACCAGCAGACAGAAGGCGAGGCACCCUCACAAGCAAUGCCCACGUCAACUCUCUUCCCCAGGCACAGUGUGUCUACACUUUUCAUCUCAUGAGCCAUAUAAACAAAAGGAAACCGGAGCCAGGAAGAGGGAGGUGACCUGCAUGAACUGUCCUGAGUCCAGCUGGACGCUAACUUCAUUCCAGAUUAUGACUUUGAGGAUCUUCCACUUCCACGGUGGUAGCUUUGGGGCACUCGCUAGAGAAUUCCAAGGUUACACUUGGCCAGGCUACUCUGCAGAACUCUGCAGCCCAUAAAGUAGACUUGGAGGAAAAGCAUCUUUGUUUUCUGGCACAGCCUAGAUGACUGUCAGCAUAGGAGACUUUCUACCUCGACCGAAUUUGGAAAAUAAGCCCGAGAAGCCUUGAAGGCAGGGCAAGAUGAGGCAGGUCCCAGCAGCUCUGUGCCUGGAGGUGGGGGCUAGGGUGGGUGGAACGGCCAAGGCAGGACUGAGCCCGUUCUGGCCCAGUGUGGGCCCAGCGCCAUACCUGCAGGAGGCUGGUUCCUUGUGCAGAAUUACCAAAUGCUACAAAUAGGGGAACACUGCAGAUGAAAGUGUGACGGGUUUAUUAGUAAUCACACCAUUCGGGGCACUAAAACUUCAAAAUCCUCUUCCUGACAAAGUCGUGCUAAUCCUUACAACACCCCCACUGAGCUGGGGAAGCAAACAGGAUUCAUUAUUCCCAUUUUAGGGAGAGCAGAGAGAGGUAAAGGAAAUGGCAACCCACUCUGGUAUUCUUGCCUGGAGAAUCCCAGGGAUGGGGAAGCCUGGUGGGCUGCCGUCUAUGGGGUCACACAGAGUCAGACAUGACUGAAGCGACUUAGCAGUAGCAGCAGUAGCAGAGAGAGGUAAGGAGCUCUACGCAGGGUCAUAGGAAGGUGAGCAUCACUGGAGUCCGGAUGACCAAGUCCAGCUUCAGAACAACAUGCUGCCCAGCUCUACUGACUCAUGCUGGGAGGGUCAGCUAAGGAGUCUCUCAUUACUCAGAAUGGAACUGGUGAUUAGAUUUUAUUUAAAAUAAAGGAAGCAGACAUUGUUUUUUGUUGAAACUUUAAUAACAGUAAAUGACAGUAAUUUUGCCAAAUGAGAAAUGUCUGACUUGAGAUGCUGGCAGACUUGCCCAGUAUCAGGAUAUAGAAUGUAUGACUUUGAUGAAUCUCAUCUGGAGCUGGACUCGCAUCACCCAGCCUCCUCCCUGACGGUGGCCUCUACGUGCUACUGCUUCCCCUGGCAGCCUGAAAAGUUUAGGCAUGAGUACUAAAUAAUGCUUGGGCUUCCCAGGUGGCAAUAGUGGUUGCCUGCUAAUGCAGGAGGCAUAAGAGACAUGGGUUCAAUCCCUGGGUCGGGAAGAUCCCCUGCAGGAGGGCAUGGCAACCCACUACAGCAUUGUUGCCUGGAACCUCAAAGAGUUGGACACGACUGAAGAGACUUAGCAUGCACGUGCUGAACAAUGUUUAGUGGUGUUUUUUUUUGUUUUUUAACAAUCUUCCUUUAAAUAAAUUAUAGUAUUUUUCUUAAUAGUUAUCUAUAUUGUGAGAAUUUUUGGAAAAUACAAAGAAGUAAAAAGAAAGUAAGAGAAAUGAGGGAUCUCUUAUUGGUGGAUUAUGAAU